UUCUAGAACUUUAUAGAUGAGCUUAUAUGCAAUAUUAGUUAACUGAUUGGCCUAUAGUCGCUAAAAACAUUGGAUUUUCAAUGUUUAGAUCAUUAAGAUGUAUGAGUGUGGUUGAUUUUAAGGUCUAACUCAUCCUGUUCAAAAACAUCAAGGGGAAAUUUAAGUACACCUAGGCCAAUAGUGUUCAUAGAAGAAUGUAUUUAACCCAUAUGGUCCUGGAAUUUUAUCUUUUAUUCCCAUCUGCUGCAUGGCUCUAUAUAGCUCUACAUUACCACUGAAAUGUGAAGCAAAACAUCAUUAGAAUAAGUUGACAAUUACUCGUUUUACAUCUUUGGUCGAUGACCAGGUUUUUCCAUUAUCUUUUGUUUUGCACUUCGAUGGAAUACAUAGUAUUCUUGUCACCAGCACAGGGCCAUUGUACUGUGCUUUUCUUUUAGGGAAAUUUGGCUGUAUGACGCUGAAAAAAACAACAAUUCACCUUCUAACCAAUUUCCCUAAUAUAUCGAUACACCAUCUGUCUUUCCUAUAAUAUUGCCAAAAUACCCUUUCAUUCUACCGGUGAAACCUGAAGAAAAUAAAAAUAAAAAAUCCAAGUUAUUAGCUGUUUCAAAUUACUCGUGGCGUAAUCAUAUUCACAUCUUUCUUUUUACCUUUAUUUGGUAAUUUUUGAGAAAUUGAUCCAUGAUUUUCUCCACCUCUUCCAACCACGUUUCUCUCCUCUCCAUCGCCACCGUCUGUGUUCUCUGAGUUUAUUUCUUUCUCUAAUUGUGUUGCAAAGGGAAUCGUCUCCACUUUGGGAAUCUAUUGCGAGAAGACGUCGUGACAGUCCAAUCGGGGAGAAGGAGCACACUGACCAUUUUUCCAUUCACAUCGGCGCUUUGUCUCAGAUCUAUUGCAAUACUGUUGCUCCGCUGUAGUGACACUUAUUAUGUUAUAAAUGCACGCUGUUGGGAUGGAAUUGAAGUGUGUGGCUUUCACUGAAGAAAAUAUUUGUGUAGCUGCGGAGAACUACUUGCUUGAAACACUGGCACUGUGUCAAGCCGGAGCACUCACCCAGGACGUGUAGACAUGGGUUUAUGGUUUCUAAGCAUAGUUUUAAUGUUUUAGCUUUGCUUCUUGUUUUUAGAUACUACCAUCUAAACUACCUCCGUGUUGUAGUAAUGUUUUAUGUAAUGACUCCAACUCUAUGUAUCUUCUUCCUUUUUGUUGCUUACACUGGAAGAAUGAAAUCACAUUCCAUAUGCAUCAAUUUGAAUUUGGUGUAAGCAUUACCUCCUUCCCUGCAAUUAUAAACACUUCAAAAUGUGAGCAAUAUGUAUUAUAUAACGUUGGUUAGAUGAAAUAGAACAAUUAAUUAUAUACUAUUUAUGUAUUUUGAUUUAUUUAAGUUAUUUUUACAUUUGAGUUUGGGUUUAUGAAUUUAGGUUUUGGGUUUAGUAUUUAGGGCUUCCAGGUGGGUUUGUUCAGGGUCUAGUAUUUCAGGAUCGGAGGUUGGUUGAGGUUGGAGGUUGGUUGUGAUUCUGAUUAUGGUUAUAGUACUAUACUAUGUUGGUGAGAUGAAAUAGAACAGUUAAAUUUUACUAUUUUUGUAUUUUAAUUUAUUAAAGAUAUUUUAUAUUUGGGUUUGGGUUUAUGAAUUCGGGUUUAGGGUUUAGUAUUUAUGGCUUUAAGGUGGGUUAGUUUAGGGUUUAGUAUUUCAGUGUUGGAGGUUGGUUGUGAUUCUGAUGGUUUUAGUAUUAUACUACGUUGGUGAGAUGAAAUAGAAUAGUUAAUUAUAUAAUAUUUUGUAUUUUAAUUUAUAAAAGAUAUUUUACAUUGGGUUUGGGUGUAUGAAUUCGGGUUUAGGGGUUAAUAAUUAUGAUUUAGAGGUGGAUUGGUUUAGGGUCUAGUAUUUCAGGGUUAGAGGUUGGUUGGGGUUAGAGGUUGGUUAUGAUUCUAAUUGUGUUUAUAGUACUCUACUAUGUUGGUGAGAUGAAAUAGAACAUUUUCUUUUCCAUCAUGUGUGUUGCAUACAGCUGUCAUAUAUGCUUCAUAUAAUUAAGUGUCCCUAAAAAAACCACGUCUCUUAUAUUUGAAAGUGAAACUGGCAACCUGUUAAGUAAAGGGGUAGAACCGGUUUGAUUGAGACCAAAAAGUUUGACAUUAAAUUAUGUCAAAAUCAAUGUUAGUUCCUUAAUUUGUCUCCCAAAUAUAGCUAUUUCGCUAAUAAGCCCUUUCUUUUAUAUGAAAUCAUAACUUAAAAAAAAAAAAAAACUGUAGAAUCAGUAAAAGGAGGUGACAAGGAUGCAAAAAUAAGAAGAAUCAAGCAGACUUUUGAACUGAUUAUGACAGAAAUAAUCAUUGUUACAAAAGAAAGAAACCUUACAUGCUAACAUGUUACAGUUUUCAUCUAUGUGUUUUGGGAAAGAACCCAAAAAGCCUCAACACAUGAAUUUUAU